rnacentral:rRNA from 1 species
GAUGAACGCUGGCGGCGUGCCUAACACAUGCAAGUCGAGCGAAGCGCUUAAAUUAGAUUUCUUCGGAAUGACGAUUUUUGUGACUGAGCGGCGGACGGGUGAGUAACGCGUGGGUAACCUGCCUCAUACAGGGGGAUAACAGUUAGAAAUGACUGCUAAUACCGCAUAAGACCCCAGCUUCGCAUGACGCGGUGGUAAAAACUCCGGUGGUAUGAGAUGGACCGGCGUCUGAUUAGCUAGUUGGUAAGGUAACGGCUUACCAAGGCGACGAUCAGUAGCCGACCUGAGAGGGUGACCGGCCACAUUGAGACUGAGACACGGCCCAGACUCCUACGGGAGGCAGCAGUGGGGAAUAUUGCACAAUGGGGGAAACCCUGAUGCAGCGACGCCGCGUGAAGGAUGAAGUAUUUCGGUAUGUAAACUUCUAUCAGCAGGGAAGAAAGUGACGGUACCUGACUAAGAAGCCCCGGCUAACUACGUG